UACGUGGGGUGCAAGCGUUAUCCGGAUUUACUGGGCGUAAAGCGUACCGUCGGUUGUUUUUUAUGUUUCUUGUUUAAGCCCGAGGCUCAACUUCGGACAAGCAAGAAAAACUGGAAAACUUGAGUUUGUUUGAGGCAGCUGGAAUUCUCAGUGGAGGGGUGAAAUCCGUAGAUAUUGAGAGGAACGCCAAUCGCGAAGGCAGGCUGCUAAGACAUAACUGACACUCAUGGACGAAAGCUGGGGUAGCAAAAGGG
rnacentral:rRNA from 1 species